rnacentral:lncRNA from 1 species
GUAAACAAAACAAAUUAUGGCUAAAACUCUCAUGUUUUUUCAAAUUAUGUUUACUUUUAUUUUUAUAUUUACCAUUGUAAUUGAAGGCCUCCUCCCUAGUAAGAUCGAAUUUUUUUCCGUCAAAUUUUCUUUAUAUGUUUUAUUCCCUAUUAUUAACAUUCGUUUUUUCUUAUUUGACAUCGCAGAAUAUAAUUUCAAUAAGAAGUGUUUUAAUGACAAGGAUUGCCCUAAAUUUCUAUGUAUACCUCCUAGUGUUCCAAAGUGCUUAAGGAACCAUUGUCGAUGUGAUGACAAUUGAAUCGCAUCCUCAAAAGUUAUAAAAAAUGGUCAUUAGUGCUACCGUUAUUGAUAAUAAUUUUACCUUCCCCACUUUUUGAUCAAGUUCAAAAAUAUAUUUGUGGUACUUCUAAGAGUAUAAUUGUAUUUGUAAAGUUGGUACUUUUAUGCUUUAUUUCACCCUUCCAUAUUUGUUAGUUAAACCUUUAAAAUUUAUUUGUUUGACUCAUAAGUAUAUUAUUGUAUUAUGCAAGUGUUGUUACAUAUUCCUUUGCUUUUAGAAGUUAUCAAGAAUAAACUACACAAAUAUAACCGUAACAUUCUUCAAAAUAUAUAUACAUCUGGAGUAGUAAACAAAGGCAAUAUAUGCUCAAAUGUAGUAUAAUUAUUCUAUUUAAAUAUAGUAUGAUUAAAUAAAAAUGUGAACUUUAAUUGAAUUGAUAAAAUUAUCGAAAAGAGCUAAAUUUCAUGAUUGACAAUGGGUAGGGGUAUGAGUAUGAUACUAUAGUAUUCAUUUUCAUACCCGCAGUUUGAAAAAAUACUCGUACUCAACCUCAUAUACUCGUGUGGGUAAAAACCUUUGUACCCGUACUCGUAUCACUACAAGAAAAACAUACAUUUGCGGCGGCCAAAAGCCCACGCAAAGGCACAAAAAGCCAACACAGAGGAUUAUUUGCGGCGGAAAUUUGUCACGGGAAAACUGGGGUAGAAAAUAGUUGCGGUUAUUUUGCAAAAGGCAGCCGCAAAUGUGUCUGUCAGAUCAUUGCGUCGGUUACUUUCUGCCGCAAACUUUGAUGGGAAUUUCAAAAUUCAGAUACGUUUGCAUGGCAAUAAAACCGACGGAACACUGUGCCCAGUUUGAUUAAGCCAGACCUAGUGCGGCGGACAGAAGGCCGCCGGAAAUGCCAAGUAAUUAAAAAAAUUAAUUUAUCAUCAAAUUUUAAAAAUCAAUUUAUCAUCUUCUUCAUUUUUGUUGAUUUAUCAAAUUUUAUGAUCAAAUUCAUUUUUAUCGUUGUUGAUUUAUCUUCUUCAUUCUUUGUUUUUACAUAAUUUUCAAUAAACUUAUGUUUUGCUUCGGUACAUCAAAAAAUAUUCUUAACAGUAUUUCUUUUUAGUUAACAUUAUUUUUAGAUUUAGAACUAAAAAAAAAACUACAUGACUAAAUAGACACUUCAUUUUUGUACAAAAAAAAUUAGAUACUUCAUUUAGGUUAUCAAUUCAUUCACAUAAUCAAACCAAAUAGAUCCAUUGUUGCUAUUGUUGUUUUAUAAAGAAAAUAAAAUCCAUAUGAGAAGUAAAAGAAAAAUCUUCUGCCCAACAAUAGAUCCAAAAAUUAAUAUGGAAUAAUCUAUUAAUAUUUGAAAAAGAAAUGUUUAGAAAGAUGAAAUACUUAAAAAAAAAAUUCAUAAUCAUGUAAAAAAAACUACAGAAGCGUGUUUACAAUAAAUUUUUCUUUUUCUUAUAUGAUACAAAUUUUUAGAUUCAAACCCAAAUUCGGAUUUGUUGUUCUUGUUGUUGUUUGCAUGAUAUAGUGUAGAAGAAGAACACACACAGCAGAAGUAGCCAUUUGUUUUUGGACAGUGAAUGUUUUUGGACAACAUUACGAUGCCAACCUUUUGAACUCUUUUUGUUUAUUAAUUUCUUAAAAAAAAUAUGGAUGAUAUACAACGGUGAAUUUUGUAAAAUUCGUAUUCGUUAUAAUAGUAUUCAUGACUUGUGCACCAUGAAAAACUUGGUAAAGUAUUUCACCGUAGAUUUGGCCUAAAUAUUCGUCCAAUAAAAAAAAUCACAUGAAAUUUCUUUUCUUUUUUUUUUGUGUGAAGUAUUUUGUUUUUAAUUCUAACUAGUUUAGACAUCCACGGGCUAGAAUUUCGUCUUAUUUAAAAUUAUUUUAACUUAUCACAUAUUAUCAUUAUUUGUAAAGUAUUAAUUUUUGUCAAAAAAAAUAUCUAUAAAGUAUUAAUUAAUAUCAUAUAUUGUCCGCAUAUUUUUUUAUUUUAUUUUUUGGUGAACCAAAUAUAUAUUUCGCAUUAAACUGCUGAGACUAAUCCACUCGAAGUAACUGAGAUCCAUUUAAAAGGUUGAGAUACAUUUAUAGGGUAUUUUUAUUUAUUGAGGUGUUUUAUUUUUUCCACGGUUAGAUUUAAAAUAAUAGCUAGGAUUAAUUGUUGAAAGAGAUUGAGACAAAUUGAGAUUAAGAGGAUCCAAAUCCGGAAUAAUCAAUGCGUUAUUCCGGCAACCAUAAUUUUGUUCACAUGUAUAUCAUGAAAGGAUAAAAGAGUAACAAAAAGAAUAAUUUCCAGGUGUGAUAAAAUCGGUGUGCCGACAAUCAAUCCUUAGUUGGUUUAGUGGUGAUUGACGCUGAACUUGGUAGAGAGGACUACGGUUCGAUCCCCAGCAACUGCGAUCAGGAGGGAGUUUGAACAACUUGAUACCAGAACUGACUCCCGAACUAGAUUAAACUGGUGGUGAAAGAAAAAAAAAAUCAAUGUGCUGACAAACACAACAUAUCAAUGCACCCAAGAGACAUUUAAUGAUAAUUCUAAUUUUAAUAAUUGGGGUUUUCACACUAUAAAAUGAUCAUACAAUUUUUAAACUUUACACGCAAACAAAACAAAUUAUGGCUAAAAAAACUCUCAUGUUUUUUCAAAUUAUGUUUACUUUUAUUUUUAUAUUUACCAUUGUAAUUGAAGGCUUCCCUAGUAAGAUCGUUUUUUUUUCCUUCAAAUUUUUUUUAUAUGUUUUAUUCCCUAUUAUUAACAUUCGUUUUUUCUUAUUUGACAUCACAGAAUUUAAUUCCGAUCAGAAGUGUUAUGGUGACAAGGAUUGCCCUAAAUUUCUGUGUAUGCCUCCUAGUGUUCCAAAGUGCUUAAGGAACCAUUGUCGAUGUGUUGACAAUUGAAUCUCAUCCUCAAAAGUUGUAAAAAUGGUCAUUAGUGCUACCGUUAUUGAUAAUAAUUUUACCUUCCCCAUUUUUUGAUCAAGUUCAAAAAUAUAUUUGUGGUACUUCUAAGAGUAUAUAAUUUUAUUUGUAAUUAUAAUGUUGGUACUUUUAUGCUUUAUUUCACCCUUCAAUAUUUGUUAGUUAAACCU